GUGCCAGCAGCCGCGGUAAUACGGAGGGGGUUAGCGUUGUUCGGAAUUACUGGGCGUAAAGCGCACGUAGGCGGAUCGGAAAGUUGGGGGUGAAAUCCCAGGGCUCAACCCUGGAACUGCCUCCAAAACUACUGGUCUAGAGUUCGAGAGAGGUGAGUGGAAUUGUGAGUGUAGAGGUGAAAUUCGUAGAUAUUCACAGGAACACCAGUGGCGAAGGCGGCUCACUGGCUCGAUACUGACGCUGAGGUGCGAAAGUGUGGGGAGCAAACAGGAUUAGAAACCCGAGUAGUCC
rnacentral:rRNA from 1 species